AACCCAUGGUGUGGGCAUUGGUUUGUGUAGCUCCUGAAUCUCUCAUAUGCUUCACCAAAACUUUCAUUUCUUUGCUGAGUGAAGCUAGAGAUUUGGUUCCUUAGUUU
rnacentral:snoRNA from 1 species